UACGUAGGGAGCAAGCGUUGUCCGGAUUUAUUGGGCGUAAAGAGCUCGUAGGCGGCUUAGAAAGUCAGGUGUGAAAACUCUGGGCUCAACCCAGAGACGCCACUUGAUACUUCUAUGGCUUGAGUUCGGUAGGGGACCAUGGAAUUCCUGGUGUAGCGGUGAAAUGCGCAGAUAUCAGGAGGAACACCGAUGGCGAAGGCAGUGGUCUGGACCGAUACUGACGCUGAGGAGCGAAAGCGUGGGGAGCGAACAGG
rnacentral:rRNA from 1 species